GCGGGCGUGGUAUAGUGGCUAUUAUACGUCCUUGCCAAGGACGAGAUGGCGGUUCGAUUCCGCUCGCCCGCUCCA
rnacentral:tRNA from 1 species